UACGUAGGGUGCAAGCGUUGUCCGGAAUUAUUGGGCGUAAAGAGCUCGUAGGCGGUCUGUCGCGUCUGCUGUGAAAACUCAGGGCUUAACCCUGAGCUUACAGUGGGUACGGGCAGACUAGAGUGCGGUAGGGGAGACUGGAAUUCCUGGUGUAGCGGUGAAAUGCGCAGAUAUCAGGAGGAACACCGGUGGGCGAAGGCGGGUCUCUGGGCCGUAACUGACGCUGGAGGAGCGAAAGCAUGGGGAGCGAACAGG
rnacentral:rRNA from 1 species